CUAAGUGUGGCGAUUGGUUUGUGUUCGGUAGAAAAGCACUUUAAGAUCGGGGAAACUAUGAACGUCUUCAAAAUAGAUUCUUUCUUCUUCUUUGUUUUGCAACUUUUCAACACUUUUUUUCCUCCGAAAUUUCUCUCUUUUUUUUCGAACUAUUUUUUCGAUUUUUUUUAUUUUUUUAAUUCAAUAAAAUGGAAAGCUAAAUACAAAAGAAAAAAAUUACACCUUGAAUUUU
rnacentral:lncRNA from 1 species